GAUGAACGCUGGCGGCGUGCUUAACACAUGCAAGUCGAACGGACUUAUUUGAAAGCUUGCUUUUAAAAUAAGUUAGUGGCGGACGGGUGAGUAACGCGUGGGUAACCUGCCUCAUACAGGGGGAUAACAGUUAGAAAUGACUGCUAAUACCGCAUAAGCGCACAGUACCGCAUGGUACAGUGUGAAAAACUCCGGUGGUAUGAGAUGGACCCGCGUCUGAUUAGCUAGUUGGUGAGGUAACGGCCCACCAAGGCGACGAUCAGUAGCCGGCCUGAGAGGGUGAACGGCCACAUUGGGACUGAGACACGGCCCAAACUCCUACGGGAGCAGCAGUGGGGAAUAUUGCACAAUGGGGGGAAACCCUGAUGCAGCGACGCCGCGUGAGUGAAGAAGUAUUUCGGUAUGUAAAAGCUCUAUCAGCAGGGAAGAAAAUGACGGUACCUGACUAAGAAGCACCGGCUAAAAUACGUG
rnacentral:rRNA from 1 species